GACGAACGCUGGCGGCAUGCCUGAUACAUGCAAGUCGAGCGAACAGAUGAAGUGCUUGCACUUCUGACGUUAGCGGCGAACGGGUGAGUAACACGUAAGGAAUCUACCUAUAAGCGGGGGAUAACAUUCGGAAACGGGUGCUAAUACCGCAUAAUAUCUUCUUCCGCAUGGAAGAAGAUUGAAAGACGGCUCUGCUGUCACUUAUAGAUGACCUUGCGGUGCAUUAGUUAGUUGGUGGGGUAAUGGCCUACCAAGACGAUGAUGCAUAGCCGACCUGAGAGGGUGAUCGGCCACAUUGGGACUGGGACACGGCCCAAAAUCCUACGGGAGGCAGUAGUAGGGAAUCUUCCGCAAUGGGCGAAAGCCUGACGGAGCAAUGCCGCGUGAGUGAAGAAGGCCUUCGGGUCGUAAAACUCUGUUAUAAGAGAAGAACAAAUUGUAGAGUAACUGCUACAGUCUUGACGGUAUCUUAUCAGAAAGCCACGGCUAACUACGUGCCAGCCGCCGCAGUAA
rnacentral:rRNA from 1 species